GAAACAAAAAACAAAAUAAUAUAACAUUUACAACAUGGCUGACAAGAAAGCACCUUUCCACAUUCGGCAUCGGAUUAUAAAUGUGGUAUUUGCUUGAUGCUACUGAUAGAACCUGUGGUUUUACCUUGUAAACAUGAAAUGUGUAGAACGUGCUUUCAAAAGAAUGUCGCAGAAGCUAAUUUCUUAUGUCCAAUGUGCAGAAAACGCAUAUCCAGUUGGGCACGAAGGUCCAUGAGAGAAGAACAUUGGUGGAUCAAAAUAGAUGGGAUCAGAUUCAAAAAUUGUUUCCCGAAAAAUGCCACAAGAGAUUACGUUCUAAUGGCGAUGAUGAGAGUGACGAUGAAUGUCCACCAGUUAAGCGAGUUUUAGCAAAGUGUGGUGAAUUGCGACAAGAAUAUGAAGAGGAAAUCAAAAAAAUCAGAGAAAGAAAGGAAAAAGAGGAGGAAGCAAGUAAAAAUCUUAUAAUAAAAUACUCAAAGAACAGAAUCAACAAUGGCAACAACAGAUUGUGAAUGAAAGAUUGCCAAGUCAACUGUCCAUGGAUUCAGCACUUAAAAAAGCAAGAAUAGGGAAAAAAUCCAAAGGUAGUCCUUCAACAGAAGGCCACCAGCAAGACAGUGAUUAUAAAUUUGCACUAAAUCUGCAAAAAAAGUUGGACAAUGAGGCAAAUCCUCCUCUAAAACGGGAUGAAUAUCUCUUGAGAUCAUCAGGACGUAAUAUCAAAAAAAUAAAAGCAAUGGAUUAAAAUAGCAGUAUUGUACCUGCAAAAUAAUGCUAUAAAAGAUUAAGUGACAAUGAUGUCGAUGGUGACAGGAUUGACAAUGAGUUCAACUUUACGGUUUUACUAUUUACAUUGAUGUUGUUUUUUUUCUUGUUCUUUUAAAACACUUUAUGUCUCAUAAUUAUGAGCUUAAAGUAAUGGAAGCUGCUAGCGGUAACUUUAAGGAAGGAUAAAUUAAAGACUUAUUACCUAUGGAUAACAUGGACCUAGUAAUGAUAACAUGAACGUUAA